UUCAUUGAAGAAAUACAGAAUUUAUUUUGCCAGUCAUGAAGUUUCCUGUAUUGAAGCAUAGGCAUUUUAAAAUUGUUGGCACAAUAACUGCAAACUCCAUUAUAAACGGGGAUAGUGAUGGGGUUAAAGGAUUUACCAGUGUGGUCAGCUCAUGGAGUGCAUCUUAUGGCCAAAUGGAAUCAGACCGUGACACUUAGACAAAUGGAAGGGCUUGCCUGUUGCUCAACAAAUCAUCUACAGAAGUUGUGGGAUAAGGAGUAGAGUACAAAGAAAGAUGAUUAAUUUCUGAAUAAUGUCGAUAUGCGAACAUGAGUUGACGUAGUGGCAUUUCUUUUAGUAGAUAUGCUAUUGGAUUUAUGGACUUUUACAAAGGAGUUUUGUUCAUUCUUGACAAGUAAACAUAAUGAAGGCAAAAUUCA